UUAGCUACUUUUAAGGCUCUUCUAAAAUAGCAACAAAGAUGGUCAAAUGACCCAAGGACCAUCUACAUAUCCUAGUAUAGACCUUGAAAAUACUUGCAAGUAGUGAGCACCUGGCAAGAAAAUAGUAAUUCCAGAAUAUAUUCAGCCAUCUUAAUUUUCCAAUACUGAAUGGAUUCCUCCACAUGAAACUGGCAAAGAAAACACUGUUCAACCACUUCAUCAAGGCACAAAAAAAGAAGCAAUUGAUCCCAAUAUUCACGGACCAGCAAAGGUAUAAUACCAGACCAAUAUUGAGUAUGAACCUGAUUUCAAUCUUCAAAGACCAGACCA
rnacentral:lncRNA from 1 species